GACGAACGCUGGCGGCGCGCUUAACACAUGCAAGUCGAGCGAUGAAAUUUCGACAGAUCCCUUCGGGGUGAAGAUGAAAUGGAUUAGCGGCGGACGGGUGAGUAACACGUGAGUAACCUGCCUUUGACAUUGGGAUAGCCUCGGGAAACUGGGAUUAAUACCAAAUGACACUAACUGAUCACAUGAUCAAUUAGUCAAAGAAAUUCGGUCAAAGAUGGACUCGCGGCUGAUUAGCUAGUUGGUGAGGUAACGGCCCACCAAGGCGACGAUCAGUAGCCGGCCUGGAGGGGUGGACGGCCACAUUGGAACUGAGCCCCGUUCCAAACUCCCCCGGGGGGCAGCAGGGGGGAAUUUUGCACAAGGGGGGAAACCCUGAUGCAGCGACGCCGGGGGGGAGAAGAAGGCCUUCGGGUCGUAAAGCUUUUUUUUGGGGGAAGAUAAGGGCGGUACCUAAAGAAAAAGCCCCGGUUACAUACGU
rnacentral:rRNA from 1 species